rnacentral:rRNA from 1 species
UACGUAGGGUGCAGGCGUUAAUCGGAAUUACUGGGCGUAAAGCGUGCGCAGGCGGUCUUUUAAGUCAGAUGUGAAAUCCCCGGGCUUAACCUGGGAACUGCGUUUGAAACUGGAAGGCUAGAGUGUGGCAGAGGGGGGUGGAAUUCCACGUGUAGCAGUGAAAUGCGUAGAUAUGUGGAGGAACACCGAUGGCGCAGGCAGCCCCCUGGGCUAACACUGACGCUCAUGCACGAAAGCGUGGGGAGCAAACAGG